rnacentral:rRNA from 1 species
AUUGAACGCUGGCGGCAUGCCUUACACAUGCAAGUCGAACGGCAGCACGGGGCUACCUGGUGGCGAGUGGCGAACGGGUGAGUAAUGCAUCGGAACGCACCUUUCAGUGGGGGAUAACGUAGCGAAAGUUACGCUAAUACCGCAUAUUCUGUGAGCAGGAAAGCAGGGGAUCGCAAGACCUUGCGCUGAUUGAGCGGCCGAUGUCAGAUUAGCUAGUUGGUGGGGUAAAGGCUCACCAAGGCGACGAUCUGUAGCGGGUCUGAGAGGAUGAUCCGCCACACUGGAACUGAGACACGGUCCAGACUCCUACGGGAGGCAGCAGUGGGGAAUUUUGGACAAUGGGGGCAACCCUGAUCCAGCCAUGCCGCGUGAGUGAAGAAGGCCUUCGGGUUGUAAAGCUCUUUCGGCCGGGAAGAAAUCGCACGGGCUAAUACCCUGUGUGGAUGACGGUACCGGAAUAAGAAGCACCGGCUAACUACGUGCCAGCAGCCGCCGUAACAC